GAUGAACGCUGGCGGCGUGCCUAAUACAUGCAAGUCGAGCGAAAAGACGAGGAGCUUGCUCCUCUGACGUUAGCGGCGGACGGGUGAGUAACACGUGGAUAACCUACCUAUAAGACUGGGAUAACUUCGGGAAACCGGAGCUAAUACCGGAUAAGAUAUUGAACCGCAUGGUUCAAUAGUGAAAGACGGUUUUGCGGUCACUUAUAGAUGGAUCCGCGCCGCAUUAGCUAGUUGGUAAGGUAACGGCUUACCAAGGCAACGAUGCGUAGCCGACCUGUGAGGGUGAUCGGCCACACUGGAACUGAGACACGGUCCAGGCUCCUACGGGAGGCAGCAGUAGGGAAUCUUCCGCAAUGGGCGAAAGCCUGACGGAGCAACGCCGCGUGAGUGAUGAAGGUCUUCGGAUCGUAAAACUCUGUUAUUAGGGAAGAACAACUGUGUAAGUAACUAUGCACGUCUUGACGGUACCUAAUCAGAAAGCCACGGCUAACUACGUG
rnacentral:rRNA from 1 species